CCUACGGGAGGCAGCAGUGAGGAAUAUUGGUCAAUGGACGAGAGUCUGAACCAGCCAAGUAGCGUGAAGGAUGACUGCCCUAUGGGUUGUAAACUUCUUUUAUAUGGGAAUAAAAUGUUCCACGUGUGGGAUUUUGUAUGUACCAUAUGAAUAAGGAUCGGCUAACUCCGUGCCAGCAGCCGCGGUAAUACGGAAGAUCCGAGCGUUAUCCGGAUUUAUUGGGUUUAAAGGGAGCGUAGGUGGAUUGUUAAGUCAGUUGUGAAAGUUUGUGGCUCAACCGUAAAAUUGCAGUUGAAACUGGCAGUCUUGAGGACAGUAGAGGUGGGCGGAAUUCGUGGUGUAGCGGUGAAAUGCUUAGAUAUCACGAAGAACUCCGAUUGCGAAGGCAGUUCACUGGACUGCAACUGACACUGAGGCUCGAAAGUGUGGGUAUCAAACAGGAUUAGAUACCCCUGUAGUC
rnacentral:rRNA from 1 species